rnacentral:rRNA from 1 species
ACGCACGCUGGCGGCGUGCUUAACACAUGCAAGUCGAACGGAAAGGCCCUGCUUUUGUGGGGUGCUCGAGUGGCGAACGGGUGAGUAACACGUGAGUAACCUGCCCUUGACUUUGGGAUAACUUCAGGAAGCUGGGGCUAAUACCGGAUAGGAGCUCCUGCUGCAUGGUGGGGGUUGGAAAGUUUCGGCGGUUGGGGAUGGACUCGCGGCUUAUCAGCUUGUUGGUGGGGUAGUGGCUUACCAAGGCUUUGACGGGUAGCCGGCCUGAGAGGGUGACCGGCCACAUUGGGACUGAGAUACGGCCCAGACUCCUACGGGAGGCAGCAGUGGGGAAUAUUGCACAAUGGGCGGAAGCCUGAUGCAGCAACGCCGCGUGCGGGAUGACGGCCUUCGGGUUGUAAACCGCUUUCGCCUGUGACGAAGCGUGAGUGACGGUAAUGGGUAAAGAAGCACCGGCUAACUACGUG